rnacentral:rRNA from 1 species
AGAGUUUGAUCAUGGCUCAGAAUCAACGCUGGCGGCGUGCCUAAUACAUGCAAGUCGAACGCGAAAGUCCCGCAAGGGAUGAGUAGAGUGGCAAACGGGUGAGUAACGCGUGGGUGACCUGCCUUCGAGUGGGGGAUAACGUUCCGAAAGGGACGCUAAUACCGCAUGAUAUCCCGCCUUUCAAGAGGUGGAGAUCAAAGCUGGGGAUCGCAAGACCUAGCGCUUGGAGAGGGGCCCGCGUCCGAUUAGCUAGUUGGUGGGGUAACGGCUCACCAAGGCAACGAUCGGUAGCCGGCCUGAGAGGGCGGACGGCCACACUGGGACUGAGACACGGCCCAGACUCCUACGGGAGGCAGCAGUAGGGAAUUGUUCGCAAUGGGCGCAAGCCUGACGACGCAACGCCGCGUGGAGGAUGAAGACCUUCGGGUCGUAAACUCCUUUCGAUCGAGACGAAUGGCCUCCGGGUGAACAAUCCGGAGGAGUGACGUACCGAGAGAGAG